rnacentral:tRNA from 1 species
GUCAGAUUGGCCGAGUGGUCUAAGGCGCCAGACUUAAGUUCUGGUCCUCUAGUGAGGGCGUGGGUUCGAACCCCACAUCUGACA